rnacentral:rRNA from 1 species
GGCCUACCAAGGCGACGACGGGUAGCCGACCUGAGAGGGUGACCGGCCACACUGGGACUGAGACACGGCCCAGACUCCUACGGGAGGCAGCAGUGGGGAAUAUUGCACAAUGGGCGGAAGCCUGAUGCAGCGACGCCGCGUGAGGGAUGAAGGCCUUCGGGUUGUAAACCUCUUUCAGCAGGGAAGAAGCGAAAGUGACGGUACCUGCAGAAGAAGCGCCGGCUAACUACGUGCCAGCAGCCGCGGUAAUACGUAGGGCGCAAGCGUUGUCCGGAAUUAUUGGGCGUAAAGAGCUCGUAGGCGGCUUGUCGCGUCGGAUGUGAAAACCCGGGGCUCAACUUCGGUCUUGCAGGCGAUACGGGCAGACUUGAGUGUUUCAGGGGAGACUGGAAUUCCUGGUGUAGCGGUGAAAUGCGCAGAUAUCAGGAGGAACACCGGUGGCGAAGGCGGGUCUCUGGGAAACAACUGACGCUGAGGAGCGAAAGCGUGGGGAGCGAACAGGAUUAGAUACCCUGGUAGUCCACGCCGUAAACGGUGGGUACUAGGUGUGGG